AUUGAACGCUGGCGGCAGGCCUAACACAUGCAAGUCGAACGGGUCCUUCGGGAUUAGUGGCGGACGGGUGAGUAACACGUGGGAACGUGCCCUUGGGUUCGGAACAACUCAGGGAAACUUGAGCUAAUACCGGAUGUGCCCUUCGGGGGAAAGAUUUAUCGCCAUUGGAGCGGCCCGCGUCUGAUUAGCUAGUUGGUGAGGUAAAGGCUCACCAAGGCGACGAUCAGUAGCUGGUCUGAGAGGAUGACCAGCCACAUUGGGACUGAGACACGGCCCAAACUCCUACGGGAGGCAGCAGUGGGGAAUCUUGCGCAAUGGGCGAAAGCCUGACGCAGCCAUGCCGCGUGAAUGAUGAAGGUCUUAGGAUUGUAAAAUUCUUCCACCGGGGACGAUAAUGACGGUACCCGGAGAAGAAGCCCCGGCUAACUUCGUGCCAGCCGCCGCAGUAACAC
rnacentral:rRNA from 1 species